rnacentral:rRNA from 1 species
AUACGUAGGGUGCGGGCGUUGUCCGGAAUUACUGGGCGUAAAGAGCUCGUAGGUGGUUUGUCGCGUCGUCUGUGAAAUUCCGGGGCUUAACUCCGGGCGUGCAGGCGAUACGGGCAUAACUUGAGUACUGUAGGGGAGACUGGAAUUCCUGGUGUAGCGGUGAAAUGCGCAGAUAUCAGGAGGAACACCGGUGGCGAAGGGGGGUCUCUGGGCAGUAACUGACGCUGAGGAGCGAAAGCAUGGGUAGCGAACAGGAUUAGAGACCCUGGUAGUCCAUGCCGUAAACGGUGGGCGCUAGGUGUAGGGGUCUUCCACGACUUCUGUGCCGUAGCUAACGCAUUAAGCGCCCCGCCUGGGGAGUACGGCCGCAAGGCUAAAACUCAAAUGAAUUGACGGGG